CUCCAAUGGCGUAUAUUAAAGUUGUUGCAGUUAAAAAGCUCGUAGUUGAAUUUGUGGCUGUUGCAGGCGGCGUGACACUUAGUGUUAUUGCUAGCUUAUGACGCCAUCCUUGGGUGGAACCUGUGUGGCAUUAGGUUGUCGUGCAGGGGAUGCCCAUCAUUUACUGUGAAAAAAUUAGAGUGUUCAAAGCAGGCUUAUGCCGUUGAAUAUAUUAGCAUGGAAUAAUAAGAUAGGACCUUGGUACUAUUUUGUUGGUUUGCGCACCGAGGUAAUGAUUAAUAGGGACAGUUGGGGGUAUUCGUAUUCCAUUGUCAGAGGUGAAAUUCUUGGAUUUUUGGAAGACGAACUACUGCGAAAGCAUUUACCAAGGA
rnacentral:rRNA from 1 species